rnacentral:rRNA from 1 species
GAUGAACGCUGGCGGCGUGCCUAAUACAUGCAAGUCGAACGAACAGACGAUGCUCUUGUGGGUUUGACGUGAGGGGCGGGCGUGUGAGUAACGCGUGUAUAACGUACCUGUAAUAGGGGUAAAACUUGGGAAAACGGGAUCUAAUACGAUAGGAUAUAUUGCAGCGCGGUGGGCAAUGGUGAAAUUCGGUGGUGCGGGCUGGAAUAGAGGGUUACCAGCUUGUUGGUGGGGUUGUGGCUUUCCAGGGUUGUGACGGCUAGGCGGCCUGAGAGGGUGACCGGCCACAGUGCGACUGGGAUACGGCCCAGACUGCUACGGGAGGCAGCAGGGGGGAAUAUGGCACAAUGGGCGGAAGCCUGAUGCAGCAACGCCGCGUGCUGAAUGACGGCCUUCGGGUUAUAAACCGCUUUCGCCUGUGACGAAGCGUGAGUGACGGUAAUGAGUAAAGAAGCACCGGCUAACUACGUG